GCUCAGAUUGAACGCUGGCGGCAGGCCUAACACAUGCAAGUCGAACGGUAACAGGAAGAAGCUUGCUUCUUUGCUGACGAGUGGCGGACGGGUGAGUAAUGUCUGGGAAACUGCCUGAUGGAGGGGGAUAACUACUGGAAACGGUAGCUAAUACCGCAUAACGUCGCAAGACCAAAGAGGGGGACCUUCGGGCCUCUUGCCAUCGGAUGUGCCCAGAUGGGAUUAGCUAGUAGGUGGGGUAACGGCUCACCUAGGCGACGAUCCCUAGCUGGUCUGAGAGGAUGACCAGCCACACUGGAACUGAGACACGGUCCAGACUCCUACGGGAGGCAGCAGUGGGGAAUAUUGCACAAUGGGCGCAAGCCUGAUGCAGCCAUGCCGCGUGUAUGAAGAAGGCCUUCGGGUUGUAAAGUACUUUCAGCGGGGAGGAAGGGAGUAAAGUUAAUACCUUUGCUCAUUGACGUUACCCGC
rnacentral:rRNA from 1 species